UAAUAAUGUUUAUUUUUGAUGAACUCAGGGGCGGAGCUAGAUGAAAUAUUAGAGGGGGCUAAAAAUAUUUACACAAUAAAAUAAGACUAAAAUAAAAUUUUAAGGAGGACUAAACUGAAAUU